rnacentral:rRNA from 1 species
UACGUAGGGUGCAAGCGUUAAUCGGAAUUACUGGGCGGAAAGCGUGCGCAGGCGGUUAUGUAAGACAGAUGUGAAAUCCCCGGGCUCAACCUGGGAACUGCAUUUGUGACUGCAUCGCUGGAGUGCGGCAGAGGGGGAUGGAAUUCCGCGUGUAGCAGUGAAAUGCGUAGAUAUGCGGAGGAACACCGAUGGCGAAGGCAAUCCCCUGGGCCUGCACUGACGCUCAUGCACGAAAGCGUGGGGAGCAAACAGG